CAGGCAAGGUACAACUUUUCUUACUCCCUCUAAAAACUCAGGCGAGGUUAUAGCGAACCAUCACAUGCAGUCUAUCUCAUUCGCAUCAGGAGGAGAUCCUGAGACACAAGGACUAUGUGGCCUAUGUAGCAAAGGACCCAGUAAACUCCAGAAGGUA